rnacentral:lncRNA from 1 species
GGCAGAUAUUAUGAAUCCAGACCUAUAAGAAAAUUGAUCAGCCUUCUAUUUGAUGAAUAAAAGCAGAGUGACCUAAAGCCCCAGUAAGACAGUGAAAAGAACUACCUUCUACAGUUCUAGUCCAGCCAGUAACUGGUCUUCAUUCCCCUUGGCAACUCACUGAGGAGGCAUAGGCAAAACUGGAGGUGGUGCCCAGGCUCUGACAUGCUGAAGGGGAGGUACAUGCUACUUUUGAUGAAGAUGAAAGUUCCUGUUGGGUCCAGGAAAAACAUACUACCCAUCCAUGUUUCUGAAAGUCAGGAAGAGACUUAUAUAUGCAAACUGGGAAAGUACCAUAUUGUGAAAUCGGAAGAGAAUCAUAAAUGGUCAGUAGUGAAGGUUCUUACCUUUUCUUCUUUCACGAAAUACGUGGUAAGAAGUGAUGUUAACAAAGUCACUUUACAAGCACCUAGCUAAUUAAUCCUGAGGGAAAAGUAAAAUCAUUAUUCAAGUACUCUGCUUACAGAG